GACGGGGGGGGCAAGUGUUCUUCGGAAUGACUGGGCGUAAAGGGCACGUAGGCGGUGAAUCGGGUUGAAAGUGAAAGUCGCCAAAAAGUGGCGGAAUGCUCUCGAAACCAAUUCACUUGAGUGAGACAGAGGAGAGUGGAAUUUCGUGUGUAGGGGUGAAAUCCGUAGAUAUUGGGAAGAACACCGGUGGCGAAGGCGGCUCUCUGGACCGACACUGACGCUGAGGCGCGAAAGCGUGGGGAGCAAACAGG
rnacentral:rRNA from 1 species